rnacentral:rRNA from 1 species
UACGGAGGGUGCGAGCGUUGUCCGGAAUCACUGGGCGUAAAGGGCGCGUAGGUGGCGCGGGAAGUCAACGGUGAAAGUUCGGGGCUCAACCCUGAAUCGGCCGUCGAUACUCCCGGGCUCGAGCACUGUAGAGGCAGAUGGAAUUCCGGGUGUAGCGGUGGAAUGCGUAGAGAUCCGGAGGAACACCGAUGGCGAAGGCGGUCUGCUGGGCAGUUGCUGACACUGAGGCGCGACAGCGUGGGGAGCAAACAGG